UACAGAGGUCUCAAGCGUUGUUCGGAUUCAUUGGGCGUAAAGGGUGCGUAGGUGGCGCUGUAAGUCGGGUGUGAAAUCUCGGAGCUUAACUCCGAAACUGCAUUCGAUACUGCCGUGCUUGAGGACUGGAGAGGAGACUGGAAUUUACGGUGUAGCGGUGAAAUGCGUAGAUAUCGUAAGGAAGACCAGUGGCGAAGGCGGGUCUCGUGGACAGUUCCUGACGCUGAGGCACGAAGGUCAGGGGAGCAAACGGG
rnacentral:rRNA from 1 species